rnacentral:rRNA from 1 species
GAUGAACGCUGGCGGCGUGCCUAAUACAUGCAAGUCGAGCGAACAGAUAAGGAGCUUGCUCCUUUGACGUUAGCGGCGGACGGGUGAGUAACACGUGGGUAACCUACCUAUAAGACUGGGAUAACUUCGGGAAACCGGAGCUAAUACCGGAUAAUAUUUCGAACCGCAUGGUUCGAUAGUGAAAGAUGGUUUUGCUAUCACUUAUAGAUGGACCCGCGCCGUAUUAGCUAGUUGGUAAGGUAACGGCUUACCAAGGCGACGAUACGUAGCCGACCUGAGUGGGUGAUCGGCCACACUGGAACUGAGACACGGUCCAGACUCCUACGGGAGGCAGCAGUAGGGAAUCUUCCGCAAUGGGCGAAAGCCUGACGGAGCAACGCCGCGUGAGUGAUGAAGGUCUUCGGAUCGUAAGACUCUGUUAUUAGGGAAGAACAUACGUGUAAGUAACUGUGCACGUCUUGACGGUACCUAAUCAGAAAGCCACGGCUAACUACGUGCCAGCAGCCGCCGUAA